GAUGAAGAACGCAGCGAAAUGCGAUACGUAAUGUGAAUUGCAGAAUUCAGUGAAUCAUCGAGUCUUUGAACGCACAUUGCGCCCCCUGGUAUUCCGGGGGGCAUGCCUGUCCGAGCGUCAUUGCUGCCCUCAAGCACGGCUUGUGUGUUGGGCCUCCGUCCUCCUCCCGGGGGACGGGCCCGAAAGGCAGCGGCGGCACCGCGUCCGGUCCUCGAGCGUAUGGGGCUUCGUCACCCGCUCUUGUAGGCCCGGCCGGCGCUUGCCGACACAUCAAUCUUUUUUCCAGGUUGACCUCGGAUCAGGUAGGGAUACCCGCUGAACUUAAGCAUGUCAAUAAGCGGAGGA
rnacentral:misc_RNA from 1 species